GAUCCACUCGACCACUCCCUUGUCCCGUCCGUUCCCAUCGGAACGACCUACCUUGAUUUCGUCCCCACACUACCGCCGACCCUCCAGCGGCAGCGGGGCUCCUCGGAGAUUCCGACGCCCUCCACCUCACUGUUGAGCAUGUCCUCACCGGCACCGGUUCCGGCCUCGCCGGGGUCCUCCUCUCAGAGAAAACGAGGUUCAACAGAAUCUGUUGGCAUGUAUGCAGUCCAGUGUUGCGAGUGUUAUAAAUGGCGUACUGUUCCAACGAAAGAUGAAUUUGAGACACUUCGGGCGAACUUCACUGAUGACCCAUGGUUCUGCAGCAAAAGACCUGACUGCUCAUGUGAAGACCCUGCAGAUGUUGAGUAUGACAGCAGCCGCAUCUGGGUCAUCGACAAGCCCAACAUACCAAAGCCUCCACCCAAGACUGAGAGACUAGCGAUUAUGAGAGGUGAUCUCACUAAAAUGGAUAUCUACUAUGUCCUGCCAAAUGGGAAGCGUGCAAGGACCUUAGGGGAUGUGCAGAAGUUUGUCGACACAAAUCCAGAGUACAAAGACAGCUUAUCAGCUGAAAGCUUCAGUUUUACAGUACCCAAGAUUGUUGACGAGACUGUUUCACAUAGCUCUGCGCGGAAGACUAAGAAGGCUAAAAAAGAGGACAAGACAAUUGCUUCAAGCAGCAAGAACUAAUAUGACAGCAAACAGACAAUAGUUCAUGUGCCUGCUUGGAUGAUCCUAGAUGUCCUCUUGGACCCCCUUUUGAUGGCAAGAUGUCUCCAUAAUUUUUAUGCCAUUUUGGGCUGGACUCGUGAUUUCGCCCAAGAUAGUUUAUUAAUCUUCCUUGGGAGGGCUGCUAAUCGCUAGGCUAAAUGCAGCCCAGGUGUUCAUCUGAGGAGUGCUGCCUCAUGGUCAACUGCCUGCUGUUGGUGCAUCUGGAUGGUGAACAUAAAUAAUACAUAGCCAUUUACUGGUGGAAACUCUCCUGCGGACUGCGGUCAUGCUAUAUGAAGUCCAAUGUAUAUAUGUAGCUUGUGCACGCAAGCCUGAAAUGGGUUGUUCUCUGCAUUUCCCUUGAA